AGCAGCCGCGGUAAUUCCAGCUCCAAUAGCGUAUAUUAAAGUUGUUGCAGUUAAAAAGCUCGUAGUUGAAUUUCAGGCCUGGCUGGACGGUCCGCCCUUCGGGUGAGUACUGUCUGUGGUCGGGUCCUACCUUCUGGCGAAGCGUCAUGGCCUUAACCGGCCGUGGCGGGGAACCAGGACUUUUACUGUGAAAAAAUUAGAGUGUUCAAAGCAGGCAAUCGCUUGGAUACAUUAGCAUGGAAUAAUGGAAUAGGACAAUGGUUCUAUUUGUUGGUUUCCUAGGACCGUUGUAAUGAUUAAUAGGGAUAGUUGGGGGGCAUUAGUAUUCAAUUGUCAGAGGUGAAACUCUUGGAUUUAUUGAAGACUAACUACUGCGAAAAGCAUUUUGCCAAGGAUGUUUUCAUUAAUCAAGAACGAAAGUUAGGGGGAUCCGAAGACGAUCAGAUACCGUCGUAGUCUUAAACCAUAAAACUAUGCCGACUAGGAAUCGGGGCAAUGUUGACAAAAUGACGCGCUCGGCAACCUC
rnacentral:rRNA from 1 species